CCUAGAAAGGGCGAGCGAAGCGGGAAGAGCUCAAAUUUAAAGCUGGCACCUCCGGGUGUCCGCGUUGUAAUCUCGAGACGUGUUUUCCGUGUGGCGGUAUGGACAAGUCCCUUGGAACAGGGCAUCGUAGAGGGUGAAAAUCCCGUACUUGCCAUGGAUGUACCAUGCUUUGUGAUACACGCUCUAAGAGUCGAGUUGUUUGGGAUUGCAGCUCAAAAUGGGUGGUAGACUCCAUCUAAAGCUAAAUAUCGGGGAGAGACCGAUAGCGAACAAGUACCGUGAGGGAAAGAUGAAAAGCACUUUGGAAAGAGAGUUAAAAGUACGUGAAAUUGUCGAAAGGGAAGCGCUUGAAGUCAGCCAUGCUGCUUGAGACUCAGCCUUGCUUUUGCUUGGUGUAUUUCUCGGUAGCAAGCCAGCAUUGGUUUGAGUCGUCGGAGAAGGGUACGAGAAAUGUGGCAUCCUCGGAUGUGUUAUAGGCUUGUACUGGAUACGACGAUUUGGAUCAAGGAACGCAGUGUGCCUCUGGCGGGUCUUCGGACACCUUCACACUUAG
rnacentral:rRNA from 1 species